UGCAGAAAUGACUGCUUCAAUGCGGAGUGGCAUGGAGGCAAUCAGCCUGUGGCACUGCUGAGGUGUUAUGGAGGCCCAGGAUGCUUCGAUAGCGGCCUUAAGCUCAUCCAGAGUGUUGGGUCUUGCGUCUCUCAACUUUCUCUUCACAAUAUCCCACAGAUUCUCUAUGGGGUUCAGGUCAGGAGAGUUGGCAGGCCAAUUGAGCACAGUAAUACCAUGGUCAGUAAACCAUUUACCAGUGGUUUUGGCACUGUGAGCAGGUGCCAGGUCGUGCUGAAAAAUGAAAUCUUCAUCUCCAUAAAGCUUUUCAGCAGAUGGAAGCAUGAAGUGCUCCAAAAUCUCAAUAAAAGAACCUGAAAUAUUUCAUUGGUGUGCAAUGAAUCUAAAAUAUAAUGAAAGUUAAUUUUUAUCAUUACAUUAAUGGAAAAUAAUGAACUUUUUCUACAAUAUGCUAAUUUUUUGAGAAGGACCUGUAUAUAAAGAACACAUUAAACAAUCAUAAUACAAACAUGGACUGAAGUGUUGGUUUUGUUUUGACACAGGCACAUGGUUUAUAGUGCUGGUUUCCACUGGUGUUGCUGUAUUCUUGUCUGGACUCACGGGACUCAUCUGUCUGUGCUGGUUUGCAAAUUAAUAAAAACAGAAGUGCCCAGUCAAGGAAUUGCUAUGAGUUGUUCUGAACCUGCAGAGAUAUAUUCUCUAAUCACUUCUGUACCAGAAACAACUCAGCCCAUAUCUGGAGACCUCGAACACCCAGAAUCACAUCAGGACAGCACAGCAGAUCCCACAGACACUCAAUCUUUCAUUAUGUCUGUUAAUUCAAUUUACCAGCCAUCAGGUAAUGAAUGUUUCUCUAAUUAAAGUGGUCAUAUUAUGAGGAAUCAAAUCUUUGUUCUGUUCACAACUGUGGUUUCACAACUCAAAACUUCCUCUGUAUUCCAAAAACUAUUUUUUGGUGUCUACAUUUAGAAGAUGAGAUACUGUACUUAAAUUCAUCACAACACUGACGCACAGAAUGAUUCAGAGAGAUUAUUCUGCUGUGUCAAAGCUAAAAAUACAUUAAAGUUUUAAGGACAAGGAGCUUAUUCAUCAAGGUCAGUGCGUUUAAUGCCUUUGCAUUGCAUUACAGAUGUUUUGGUCAACAAACAGAAACAGGGUAAUGCAGAGGUUUGUACACUGUCACACACCAAACAUACAUAACUGUCCAUCAUGAACAGAAUACAAACACAUUUACUUGUGUCUUAAUAAUCUUUCUUCUUCCUUAAGAUUGUUUAUCACCUGUACUCCAUGAUCCCUGACAAACCAGUUCACUCAAAUGCAGAAGAUCACGUGUACAGUUUGGUGAAGAUGCACUGAUGAAUCUCAUGUCUGUGUUCAUUAUGUAUAGCGACUGUAAAUAAAGUGUCUUUACUUUCAGACAAAGGCAGAAGGUGUUUAUUUUUUUUUAUUAUUCAGUGUUUGGUGUGGAAUAUACUGUGACUUCACUGAAUAUCCAGAGCAUCUUCUCUGGCAAACCCACUAGUACAGUACUACUAGUGGAGCUUGGGCAUUCAAUAAGACUGGAACUAAAAUUUUAAUGAUAAAUCAAAAUGUUUUAUUUCUUUUCUUAUGAAAUUGAACCAUCUGAAGGUUUGAACCAAAUAUUUUUUUCUUAUUGGUUUUCUGUAUUUAAAAAAUGCUUAAAUCAGUUUUCUCUGAAAUAAAUAAACCUAACUGUGCCAACAUUUUGUUAUGCUGGUCCAUGCACAUUGUCAAGAAGAUGUAAUGUAGUGACCGGUUUUGUGUUGUUUCAGCAUCUCCUACUGUAAAAGUAUCUCCAGAUGUCAUAAGAGAGUCCAGCUCAGUGAAGAUCAGCUGUGAGACGCCAGCUGUUCCUGUGGAUCUGUGUUAUUUCUACAUAAACAGUAAGGAGAAGAAUGUAAAAACCAGAUGGAGAUGUGAGCUGAAUCUCUCUGGUGCUGAAGUGUUCAGAUGGGCAGCUGUAAAAUCACCUGGAUCACUCAACAUUAUCUGUUACUACACAAUACAGGGGAUUAUUAAAACAUCACCUCAUUCUCCUCCUGCCACAGUGACGGUUUGAGGUGAGAAAUUUCACUGCUGUUAGAAAGUUUUUAUAACUGUGGUUUAUUUCUCUUCAGGUGCACUUCAGAAACCCUUCAUUAGAUUGUUAGUAAAGAUGAUUGUGAUUUUUGAGCUCUGUCCAAAUAUCUCUCUAAAAUCAUUUACAAAGACAUCCUUUUUAAAAACAUCCCAUAUAAUAAUCAUGAAUGACUCAAGUUACAUCACCAGUAUGUGACAUAUGGUAUUUUUUUAUAUUUUAGAGGACCUGUACCUUCAACAAACAAACUUUGCUUUAAAGUUUGCAAAUAAUAUAAACUCACACCCUGUAAUUCUGAUAAAUUAUCUCCACUGUUUUAACACUAACCACCACUAAACAAAGUACUUCAACAGCCAUUAAACCUGUGAGUGACUGAGUUUGUAAAUCAAAAAGGCCUUAUUUUUACUCCACCUUGAAUGUCCUCAAAUGUUAAUCAUUCCUUUACAAAAUCAAGUCAAGUGUAAAAUUAAUAUGUUGGAUUCAAAAGACAUUCAAAAAUAUAGCUGGGAUUCAUUUUCAAAAUUUGUGAUCAGUAUCUCAUAGUGGUGGCUCCUAAAGGUAAGCAGAAAUCAGAAAACACACAGAGAAUUUAACAAAGGCAAGUCUCAUGCCUGCAGGUAGAUGCUCCAAAUGAGCAGCAACAUUUUCAAGAUUACUUUGAUUAUGUCGUGGGGGGGGGGGGGGGGUUUCAACAUGGUUACUAUUUGUUUAAGAAUUAUGUAUAUUUUUAUUAACAUUCUAUUUUAUUAUCUUUUCAAAAGCUUUAACUCUAAUGUCCACUUCUGAAUCCACAACACACAGUAAAACUGGUAAGUUACUAAUAACACACUUUCUGUUUAUGCUGGAUUAAAUUUGACAAACGAUUCCUUUCUGAAAACAGAUUUCCCUUGCAAUUUGUUAUUUUAUACUACUAGACCUCCAAUCCAAGACAAACAGCAUGACAAAGGAAUCCAUGCGUAAGUUCAUCCACUCUUCCUCAGUAAUAAAAGUCAUUGUACAGAAUGAAUGUGUUGGAUUCAAAAGCUCAAAGUCAGCUGGCCCUUGUCAAUUUGUUAUUUUAUACUACUAGACCUCCAAUCCAAGACAAACAGCAUGACAAAGGAAUCCAUGCGUAAGUUCAUCCACUCUUCCUCAGUAAUAAAAGUCAUUGUACAGAAUGAAUGUGUUGGAUUCAAAAGCUCAAAGUCAGCUGGGGUCCAUUUUCAAAGUUUAUUCAUACAUAGUAAGCGGUAGCAGUCAGAGAACUCAACAAUCACAUGGUGGUUCAUGACUAUGCUGCUUUUUUCAGCAUGGCUACUAACUGAUUUACUUCAUACUGUAUCUGCAUCACGUAUCACAUCACAUGUGGCACAAUGUUCAUUCAGUCGACUGUUUUCACAGCAGCCUCUACUCUGCCUGAUUCCACCAGAGAGACAGAAACAUGUAAGCUAAAAUAUUUUUGCUUUGCUUAUUAGAGAAUAUUAAAUUUGUGUUAAAUGUUUCAAUAAAAGUACUAUUUUCUCACAGUGAUGUAAAGAUAGAAACACUGAUGUUUGUAAUCAUUAUAUGCGUUCAGUUUUUACUCUAAUAUGUAUUUAACUGUAUUCAAUCUUUUAAAUCUUUUAGAUUUAAUCUUAAGAUUCUUUUGAAUUCUUUUUACUCUAAUAUGAUUUAACUGAUUCAAUCUUUUAAUCUUUUGAUUUAAUCUUAAGAUCUUUUGAAUCUUUUCUGUUGUAGCUGUUCCUCACACUCUUCACACUGAAGGUUGUUCAUUCACUCACAACACAAAACUGCUAUUCUGAAUAUUUGUAUAAAAUAAAACUUUUAACUUUUCCCACCUUUUUGUGAUCAUAUGCAGUAUACACUGAAAAGAAUGGUUUGAGCUAUCUAAAAAAUUAUGGUAACAACAUUACACAUAAUAUUAUUGAAUAGUUUAAGGCUUGAUUCUUUUUUUUUUUAUAUAGAAUCUAACUAAAUAAAUCAUGUAAAAUCUCCUAAAUUAUUUAAUCUAUGAUACAAUGAAAUUAAUACUAUUAGUGAAAUGCACUCGUUUAUUUUAAGUUGAUUCCCAAAGGCCUGUGAUUUUGAGUAAGGCCUGUUUGUAUUUGACUUUGAGUUUUUUGUCCAAUUAAAAGAUUGUAUACAUCCGCACAGCUCAAGUAGGAAAAUGCUGAAAAAUACUGGACUAGCAUUAGCAAAGCUACUGCUCAGCAUCACACCUCACAGUGUUAGUAAGCAGUUAUCUAACCAUAAGCUCCACUCUUCUGCCCAGUGAUAACGUCAAAAACUUCAACGGAACAGAAACUCUUUCAAAUGUCAUACAUAACCGAACAUUAAACAUUAAUCCCUUCACACUCAAAAACAAAUUAUGCUAAUUCUAUUACAUAAAUAGGUAGCUGUCAUUCCUUAAUAUUUUUCAGUUUAAUCAGUUCCUCAAUUCAAGCCUCAAGACUGCUUAAGUGUUCUUAAAAACAUGGUUUUAUUAGUGGUUUUAUAAGUGAAAAGAUCUCAGUAUUUUCUAUAAAACACUGAACCACAAUUUCUUUAAUAAAAUAUACACACAAGUGGUUUGGUUAAUGACCUUCAAAGAUGGUUAAUAAUCCCCUUAAUUUUUUUUUAUAAAAAUUACAAGACACAUUAUUAUUAUUAUUAUUAUUUACAGUGUAUUGAUGUAAAAUUCAUUAAAUUACAAAAAUCUGCACACAAUUUACCUGAUUUAGCACCGUAUCCAUUCAUUUUUUUGCAAUAUAAAUAUGGAUUAAAUCUUUUUUUUUCUUUUGACAGACUCAUUGCUUUAUUUCUGUCUGGACUCGUAGGAUUCAUCUGUCUGUGCUGCUUUACCAGUAAGUACAAUGUACAGGUUUAGUUGUGCAUAAACUGAAAUCCAUGAUACAGAAACUUAUGAUAAUAAAGUUUGUAUCUCUGCAGGUUCUGCUGAUGUUCUCACAGAACUGAACUACAUCUCCUGCCAGAUGGAAACAACAUCUCUUUUAACUUCCUCUGUGUGCUCCUCAAAACAUGAAUGACUUGUUUACUUUCUUUACUUUUUGCACCUCUAUCACUGAUGUGUAUAUGUACAGCAGGAAUGAUAGCAUAAGCAUAUGUACAGUAUAUAGCUACUGAAUUCAUAUACUGAACAUCAGGCCAGAUAGAAUCUUUGGAGCUUUUUUCCACAUUUUCAUUUUGGGAGAAAAUGAAUUUAUAUUGUUAAAAUGCAUUAAAUGUUGUUCAUGGGAGUUCAGUGAUGCACACAUUUUAAUCAACUUUUAUAAUAAAUACAUGUACACAAGUUCUAACAAAGUCACAUUUCAACUGUACCAUGUUAGCCUAUAAGCAAUUUUACAAAAUUAGCAUAGUGCCUUGCUUGUUCAGUUUGUAUUAUCUGUCAAUAGUCUUAAUAAUGAACAACUGAACUGCCUUAGUCUGUUUGCAUGUUUUUAUACAUUAAUAAGCAAAUGUGUACCUACUGUAAAGUGAAUAAUAUAUUUCACAUUUUUAAUAAAUGGUUCAGGGGUUUUGGCACAUUUAAAUGUUACUUUAACAAUCUUUACUUGCAGACAAACAGGUUUUCAUUUUCAUUAUGCAUUGUGACCUCUACGGAGAGGAUGAUUUGUGGCAAGUCAUUAGCACAAUACUGCCUUGUAUACAAUAAAAGGUGAACUAAAAAAAAU
rnacentral:lncRNA from 1 species